CGCGUAGGCGGGAUAUUAAGUCUCUUGUCAAAGUGCGGGGCUCAACCCCGUGAUGCGGGAGAAACUAAUAUUCUUGAGUGCCGGAGAGGAAAGCGGAAUUCCCAGUGUAGCGGUGAAAUGCGUAGAUAUUGGGAGGAACACCAGUGGCGAAGGCGGCUUUCUGGACGGUGUCUGACGCUGAGGCGCGAAAGCCAGGGGAGCGAACGGGAUUAGAUACCCCGGUAGUCCUGGCCGUAAACGAUGGGUACUAGGUGUAGGGGGUAUCGACCCCUCCUGUGCCGGAGUUAACGCAGUAAGUACCCCGCCUGGGGAGUACGGCCGCAAGGUUGAA
rnacentral:rRNA from 1 species